UACAGAGGGCCCGAGCGUUAAUCGGAAUCACUGGGCUUAAAGCGUGCGUAGGCGGCCAUGAAGGUAUCGAGUGAAAGCCCUCGGCUCAACCGGGGAACUGCUCGGUAAACCACAUGGCUUGAGGCAAGUAGGGGCCGUCGGAACGAUAGGUGGAGCGGUGAAAUGCGUAGAUAUCUAUCGGAACGCCGAAGGUGAAGACAGGCGGCUGGGCUUGUUCUGACGCUGAGGCACGAAAGCGUGGGGAGCAAACGGG
rnacentral:misc_RNA from 1 species